CCUGUUCUUCCUAAGUGCUGUUCAAGUCACCAGCAGCUCAGAAAACCAUCGAACAUCGGAGAAUGGCCACUGCACACAUUAAUGCUUCCACUGCUGCCCUUUGACGGUUUUUGUACCUAUUCAUGCUGUUUCAGGUUCAGUGUUGUCAUCUCACACUGGACUCCUGUUCUCCAACAAGUGACUGUGUAAACGGGGAGGAGAGAAAUCGCAAGGUUUCUAACAAUUAUCUGCAGCUUUCUUACCAAGACCCAGUAGCCUGCAGAAGAGAACGCCUCCAAUUUCCUGCCCUCUCAUUGGCAUGGCCUACACCCUCACUGUGUGACCUCAGGGCUGCACAUUUCCCUCUGUGGACUUUCAUCUCCCUGGCUCCAGGCACAGUCAACACUCCAUUGUUUCCAUUUGCUUCGAUGUAUCAACGUAUUGACCCACGUGGGCACCAGGAACCUUGUCUCCCCAGGAGAGAAAGUCCUCAUUGCUGCAAGUUCCCUGAAAGAUUUGCGGAAGAAUCGGGCUCUUUUGUUUCUGCCCUUCAUUCAUCUUCCUUCCCUUUGCCAAAACAAACACACUUGCAUUCUGAAAUCAACAGCAUCAGCCAACUGUGUUUGCCAUGGCCUAACCCCUGCACAACCUGUGUUUGAACCCUUUGGAGGCUUUGAUGCCGAGACUGAAAAAUCCAAGUGAUGUUCAUUUAUCCCACUUGGAAUCGCUUGAUAAAUUGUGUUGCUGGAGUUAACACUUGCCAGUUAGUCUCUUUGGGUUUAUUGGCUUUGUGUCAACUUCAUCCAUCGCUGAAUUGGCCAAGUGGUGCACAUCCUGCGUGGCUUUUGGAUAGAAAGCUUCUCUUAACUUGCUUUGUGCUUGUUUGGAGCUUCCACUGGAAAUACUGCCUUCCUGGUCUGGCAAUACUCCUGUGAUCCAGGCAGGGAAGGUGUUUGCAUUUUUCAGACACUGAAACCGGUAUUUAAUUGGGAUCAGCGAUUCAUUCACAUUACAAGGCGCCUGGCAAAACCAGGACUUGAACGUAAGUCUCAUGACUGAAAAUUCAGUGAACUUACCCCAUUAUUCCCUUAGCAUCCAGUUUAGUGUUAAAUAAAGGA
rnacentral:lncRNA from 1 species